CAGCCGCCGCGGUAAUACGUAGGUGGCAAGCGUUGUCCGGAAUCAUUGGGCGUAAAGCGCGCGCAGGCGGUCCUUUAAGUCUGAUGUGAAAUCUUGCGGCUCAACCGUAAGCGGUCAUUGGAAACUGGGGGACUUGAGUGCAGGAGAGGAAAGCGGAAUUCCAUGUGUAGCGGUGAAAUGCGUAGAGAUAUGGAGGAACACCAGUGGCGAAGGCGGCUUUCUGGCCUGUAACUGACGCUGAGGCGCGAAAGCGUGGGGAGCAAACAGGAUUAGAUGCCCUGGUAGUCCACGCCGUAAACGAUGAGUGCUAAGUGUUGGAGGGUUUCCGCCCUUCAGUGCUGCAGCUAACGCAUUAAGCACUCCGCCUGGGGAGUACGGUCGCAAGACUGAAACUUAAAGGAAUUGGCGGG
rnacentral:rRNA from 1 species